rnacentral:lncRNA from 1 species
UUGCUUCUGAAGCGUCACCAUAGCUAACCGAGGAUCCGUGAGCCACCAGUUUUACAGUUUUCAGGCUGUCAUGUUCAUACAUUAAAUAAUCCAGAGCAUACAUGCUUCUCUGCGGUUGGUCGGGAUCUGAAGAAGGCGGUGUCGAAAUGCAAAGAUCCUGCAGGUGGUUCGGCUUGCAAAGGCACAUAUCAUCACCGACAGACCAAUCCAGCAAAUUUGUGUGAGGAGGAAGACUGAGGNNNNNNNNNNNNNNNNNNNNNNNNNNNNNNNNNNNNNNNNNNNNNNNNNNNNNNNNNNNNNNNNNNNNNNNNNNNNNNNNNNNNNNNNNNNNNNNNNNNNUACCAUGUCGAUAUUGUCUCCACUGGUCACACACCGAAUAAAGUUCAAGUCGUUGGUCCAUUUGAGGGAUGGCGUCGAAAACAAGCCUGAGCUUCCAGAGAUUAGGCAUUGCGUCCGCCUCAAAUCUUAGCCAGGCUAUUCCAAUCAUGAACCUCAGCUUCAAGUACUUGAGAGCUGUGAAUCCAGCACCCGUGCCAAAUAUUAUCUUAACAUUAGGUGACUUCUCCACAUACAACGACAGGGCAGUGAGGGCAGUCAACCCUCUAAGAAUAUCAACAUUAUGUACCGACAGUUCACUCAAUGCAAUCUUCAGAAUGCACAGGUUGCCAAGUUGGAUCCUCCACCUAUGCAUUUGGCAAAAUACGACGGGGCUGUGUGGUGAGACCUCAGAUCUCUGGAUAUGGUGGGUAGGUUUAUUUAAAAUCCAGCCAACUCUUGCUCUUGAAGCGUCACCAUAGCUAACCGAGGACCCGCAAGUCACCAGUUUUACAGUUUUCAGGCUGUCAUGUUCAUACAUUAAAUAACCCAGAGCAUACAUGCUUCUCUCCAGUUGGUCGGAAUCUGAAGAAGGCGGUGUCGAAAUGCAAAGAUCCUGCAGGUGGUUCGGCCUGCAAAGGCUCAUCUCAUCGUCGACAGACCAAUCCAGCAAAUUUGUGUCAGGAGGAAGACUGAGGNNNNNNNNNNNNNNNNNNNNNNNNNNNNNNNNNNNNNNNNNNNNNNNNNNNNNNNNNNNNNNNNNNNNNNNNNNNNNNNNNNNNNNNNNNNNNNNNNNNNAGUACGUAUACUACGUAGUAUAUAUAUAUAUAUAUAUAUAUAUAUAUAUAUAUAUAUAUAUACAUAUAAUAUAUUAUAAAACAAUUCACAGUUAUGCAAAUAUAGUAUCCCAGCGUCAGACAGAACACGAGUAUUGCAAGUGCAGUAAAAGCAGGAAAAACACGUUCAACCUUGCCUUAUUUCCUUAUUUCCGGUUGAUCGUUGUACAAACGACUUUAAGAAAAAUAAACAACUGGAAAGUAAAAUCAUGAUUUUACACUCUUAGAGCAGAUUAAUCUAAAUACCAAACUAGGAGUAAAUACAUUUUCAGAACAACUGACUGAAUAUCGAAGGGUCCAAAUUGUUUUUUAUUCAGAGUUUGAAAAAUCUUGAACAAAAAAUAGAGGGAAAGCUAGAGACUGCAUUGGAAGUAACUGAGAGUUCUGUUUUACUGUAAAGAUAAAGUUGGGUGAUGGAGAUGAAGAUCGUUAGAACACCAUAUGAAAACAUUAUUGGAACACAAAUUGCAACUGGAAAUAACAGCUAGUGACUAAAACUCGGAUGUUUCUGCAGGCACUUUCUCUGGAGCUCAUUCAUGUCUUCUCUUUUUGUAUGAUCAGCAGAGCGCUCCCAGGAAAUUCAGACUGAGAAUGAGGCACAGCCAGCACUGCAUGGAAAUAUGAAGAGAAACGCUGUGUCAUUGAAAUCAUGGAGCAAACUUGAUAAAGAAAAAUAAUAUACAAAGCGAGUACGUACAAGGUAAGUAACUUACUCAUAUCUUGCAUGCAUGCAUCCAACCUUUUAUUCAGUCGACCGACUCAGCAGCCCAUCACGGCGCACACAAUCCAACUUACUCAUAUAUUGUAUGCAUGCAUUCUUUAUUCAGUUGACCGACUCAGCAACCCAUCACUGCGCACACAAUCCGCUCGCCCCGGUAUGGCCGUGUGGCAAACAAAUCCCAGACAGGCGGUUCCCCAUCCGGGGUCCAUGAAUGAAGCUCAACCACCUUUUCAUCUGUUGAAUCGUUUGGACGCCCGAUAACAAUCAGCCGGUCACCACACGCUCGGAAACCCAUGUCCCAGCCAUCUUUGUCCUUAGACUGCACGGGCAAUUUUCCAAGAGUGGUCCACUUGUUGUCCAGCUUAUCAUACAGCUUCAAAUCAUUAUUCUCACUGUAAUCAGCAGCAUAAAGCUCGUUGUUCACAACCGCAAGGAGCGGAGGAGCUCCCGCGAAUGUCUCGUUGAGCCCCUGAGACAUGUUGUCGAUGACCCUCCAUGACCGCAGGUUCAAGUCAUACUCCUCACCGCAAGUCAACACCUGGUGGCUACUGGAAUAACCACCGAUGACAUAGAACUUGCCGUCCAUGAAGGCGCCAGAGCAUCCGUACCUGGCCCUAUUCAUGCUGGGAAGGGGUGUCCAAGUAUGUGUCUCCGAGUCAUACAUCUCUGCCGUGCUCAAUACAUUAGUACCAGAAGGAUCAAGGCCUCCCGCGACGUACGCCUUCUCACCUACACUGGCUGACCCAAACCAGGCCCGCGGGGUGUUGAUCGCAUCAGCAUCAGCAUCAGGCAGCCCUGUCCAUGAAUUGGUAAGGAUGCUAUAUCUCAAGGAAACCCCUGCGGACCCAAACACCAGCAGCUCGGUUCCUACAGCCAGUGACUCCCAGAAUCUGCUUUGAGCCGGUGGCAUCUUGGGCACUUUGAUCCAGCGCCCGGUGGACGGGUCAUAAGCAUCCCACUCCGGAGGAUUAUUAUUACCGCAGGAGAGGUAGAUCCAGUGCUCUGCCACCCCAUUCUUGCGACGAAGGCGGUAGAUGUCCCCGUCGCGAACCACCGAAUUGAAUUCACGGUUGAGGGAGGCGAUGGAGGCGCCGUAGUCCCGCCUGGACACAAGGUGGAGGCAACGGAUGAAGAGCUCCCGACCUAUCACAUCAAUGGUAUUGCUCCACGACACCACGGUCUGCUGCGCUCCACCUGACAAAAGCCAACAGCUCAUCCAUCGUCUUACUAAUUUCUACGAGUAAUUAAUAGCUAUUGGAACUCCUGUUGACUGAAUAGCAUACCUGGAGGAUUCAGGCGUGAACAGGACUCUGGUGACCUCGAUGAUACCCUGCAGGUUACAACUACCAUUUAGAGCAUGAGCAUGAAUAGUCAAAUCAGGUUUAAUCGAAUAACUCAACAUCAACAAAAGUAGUUUACAACAGCAACAAAAGUAGUACCUUUUAUCGCCAUGGGAACCGGAAUCCACUAAUUUCACCUCGAUUAUAGGAUUGCUCAGAUGAUUGCUAACAACACCGAUCCUCGCGACAUACUGCAGAUCAACAGCCGCACCCCCAAAUUUAGCGGAGACCUCUCUAAGGCCCGUCAUAUGCUCGAUGCUGAUUAGUGCAUUACCAUGUCGAUAUUGUCUCCACUGGUCACGCUUAGAAUAAAGUUCAAGUCGUUGGUCCAUUUGAGGGAUGGCGUCGAAAACAAGCCUGAGCUUCCAGAGAUUAGGCAUUGCGUCCGCCUCAAAUCUUAGCCAAGCUAUUCCACUCAUGAACCUCAGCUUCAAGUACUUGAGAGCUGUGAAUCCAGCAGCCGUGCCAAAGAUUAUCUUAACAUUAGGUGACUUGUCCACAUACAAUGACAGGGCAGUGAGGGCAGGAAACCCACUAAGAAUAUCAACGUCAUUUACUGACAGUCCAUCCACUGCAAUCUUCAGAAUGCAUAGGUUGCCAAGUUGGAUCUUCCACCUAUGCAUUUCGCAAAAUACGACGGGGCUGUGUGGUGAGACCUCGAAUCUCUGGAGAUGGUGGAUAGGUCUAUCCAAGACCCACAAAACUCUUGCUUCUGAAGCGUCACCAUAGCUAACCGAGGAUCCAUGAGCCACCAGUUUUACAGUUUUCAGGCUGUCAUGUUCAUACAUUAAAUAAUCCAGAACAUACAUGUUUCUCUUCAAAUGGUCGGAAUCUGAAGAAGGCGAUGUAGAAAUGCAAAGAUCCUGCAGGUGGCUCGGCUUGCAAAGGCACAUAUCAUCACCGACAGACCAAUCCAGCAAAUUUGUGUCAGGAGGAAGACUGAGGUGCAACAAGCGUGGGAGAUAUAUAAUGUCCCAUGGAACAUAAGUCCCCCUUGGUGUAUCCAUAACAUCAAGUGUUUCCAAACACUGCAGCCCU